CAGUAGCCGCGGGAAUACGAAGGGUGCAAGCGUUACUCGGAAUUACUGGGCGUAAAGCGCGCGUAGGUGGUCCAUUAAGUUGGAUGUGAAAGCCCUGGGCUCAACCUGGGAACUGCAUCCAAAACUGGUGAGCUAGAGUACGGUAGAGGGUAGUGGAAUUUCCUGUGUAGCGGUGAAAUGCGUAGAUAUAGGAAGGAACACCAGUGGCGAAGGCGACUACCUGGACUGAUACUGACACUGAGGUGCGAAAGCGUGGGGAGCAAACAGGAUUAGAUACCCGCGUAGUCCCUGUCUCUUAUAC
rnacentral:rRNA from 1 species